rnacentral:sRNA from 1 species
GGUUUUUGCCGGGGCGUUUUCCUCCCAUUCCCCCGGUGACCGCAAGACCGGAACUCCUCCUCCCAAGCCGGUCUUACCCUAAAUGACACCCGCUGCUCCUCCCGCGGCGGGUGUUGUUU